UUGUGAUCUUGUCUUGCUCUGUGCUGACAUUAUUCCUGCCUUGCCAUAGUUUCCUGCUUCAUGCCAUGCCAAAUGAAAAAAAUGUUUUCAAGGAGUGGCGGCUAUGAUGAUGCCAUGGGAAAGCCACCACAAUCAAGGGGAAAACCUGGGGCGCCAAGAGACCUAAAAGCCCCCACGCUCGCCGUCUAAGUGAUGUGUAAGGCAAUGAGUGUUUGAAGUGAUGCUUGAAAGGGCAGCAAUAGAAAUGUCUGCUCUGUGCUCAUCUGUACCAGUCUGGAAUUUUAAGUACUUCUACUGCAUUAUUUCCCACAUGAAGAGCAUGCUUUUUGUACCCCAAGAUGCAUUCAUAUAGAGUGGAGAACAAUAACAGGCUUCAGUGGUCUACACAUAAUGAUCAACAUGCUACCUUGACAACCGUGUGUCCUCAAUGAGCUGCUGGAAAUUUUGUUCGAAUGGCCUCAAAAGGGAGACUAAAACACAAAGUCAAAGGCUGACGGGAAGAGACUUUGGUUUUUUCCCUCUCCACAACACUUAACAGCAGCAUCCUUGGGCAAAAGUAAUGUUACGCAAGAUGCAUGAAAAUCACUUGAUAAAAAGUAAAUAAAUAAAUAAAUGGGUUGUACUUGUAUAGCGCUUUUCUACCUUCAAGGUACUCAAAGCGCUUUGACACUACUUCCACAUUUACCCAUUCACACACACAUUCACACACUGAUGGAGGGAGCUGCCAUGCAAGGCGCCAACCAGCACCCAUCAGGAGCAAGGGUGAAGUGUCUUGCUCAGGACACAACGGACGUGACGAGGUUGGUACUAGGUGGGAUUUGAACCAGGUACCCUCGGGU